rnacentral:rRNA from 1 species
UACUCGAUGAACAACCAACUUGGAUAACUGUAGGAAUUCUAGAGCUAAUACAUGCAAAGAAUCUGGACCGGUGGCGACAUCGGAAAGGAUGCCUUUACUUGAAUUUUAGAAACCAAUUGGGGUAAAACCCAUAACCUUGUUGAUGAUUCAGAGUAAUUUUAGCAGACCGAAGACUUUUUGUUUUCGGCGAUUUGAAAGAGAUUCUGCCCUAUCAACUUUCAACCGUAGUCUAGUGGACUACGGUGGUGGUAACGGGUACGGGGAAUUAGGGUUCGAUUCCGGAGAGGGAGCCUGAGAAACGGCUCCCACUUCCAAGGAAGGCAGCAGGCGCGUAAAUUAUCCAAUCCUGAUACGGGGAGAUAGUGACAAGAAAUACCGAUGUAGAGGUUUUAAAGCUUCUACUAUUGGAAUGAGAACAGCGUAAACUCCAUAGCGAGGAACUAUUGGAGGGCAAGUCUGGUGCCAGCAGCCGCGGUAAUUCCAGCUCCAAGAGUGUAUAUUAGAGUUGUUGCGGUUAAAAGGCUCGUAGUUGAACUUAGGACGAAAGCGAUUCGGAUCCCGGCGUUAAAACCGGAACAAGGUUCGGCGACUUUCCGUCUUUCUUUUUUCCGUGGAACGUUUAAGGGAGAUCUUCGAUUUCCCUGUUUCACGGAGGUUUACCUUGAAUGAAUUAGAGUGUUCAAAGCAGACGUAAUCGUCUCGAAUAUUUUAGCAUGGGAUAAUCGAAUAUGACAAGAUGUCAAUUCGCUUUGUUGGUUUCUAGGCAAUCUUUGUAAUGACGAAUAGAAACGGUCGAGGUCGCUUGUAUACUGUGGUGAGAGGUGAAAUUCUAAGACCCGCAGAGGACAAACAAAUGCGAAGGCAUUCGACAAGGAUGUUUUCAUUAAUCAAGAACGAAAGUUGAGGGAUCGAAGAUGAUCAGAUACCGUCGUAGUCUCAACCGUAAACCAUGCAGACUCGGGAUCGGGGGAAGUUACAUGGAUGACUCUUCCGGCACCGUAGAGCGAAAGCAUAAGUAUUCGUGCUCCGGGGGGAGUAUGGUCGCAAGACUGAAACUUAAAGGAAUUGACGGAAGGACACCACCAGGCGUGGAAUCUGCGGCUUAAUUUGACUCAACACGGGAAAACUCACCCGAACCGGAUGCCGAAAGGAUUGACAGACUGAAAGCUCUUUCUUGAUUCUGUAGAAGCCGGUGCAUGGCCGUUUUUAGUUGGUGGAGUGAUUUGUCUGCUUAAGUGCGAUAACGAACGAGACCCCAAUAGGUUAAAUAGACGAAGGAACAGGAGGAUUUUUGGAGGACGUCUCUGGAUCGAAAGGUUCGGGGAUUCUUCCGUGAAGUCUUCGUUCGGUUGUUCUUUAAAGUCUUCUUAGAUAGACACCCCGCGAUAAAAAUAGGGGGGGGAAGCGUGGGGCAAAAACAGGUCUGUGAUGCCGCUCGAUGCUCGGGGCUGCACGCGCACUACACUGACGUGUUCAGCGAGUAAGAAUUUCUUUUAAAUCGUCCUAGCGCGAAGGCGCGUAGGCAAUCUGGGAAAGCACGUCGUGACCGGGAUCGUGCAUUGAAACUAUUGCACGUA